rnacentral:rRNA from 1 species
GUUACAGCAGCCGCGGUAAUACGGAGGGUGCAAGCGUUGUUCGGAAUCACUGGGCGUAAAGGGCGCGUAGGCGGCUUCAAUAGUCCGAUGUGAAAGCCCGGGGCUCAACCCCGGAAGUGCAUUGGAAACUGUGAGGCUUGAGUUCGGGAGAGGAAGGCAGAAUUCCCGGUGUAGGGUUGAAAUCCGUAGAUAUCGGGAGGAAAACCGGUGGCGAAGGCGGCCUUCUGGAACGAAACUGACGCUGAGGCGCGAAAGCGUGGGGAGCAAACAGGAUUAGAUACCCCUGUAGUCC